AUCUACGUCCAUGUACCCUGAACAAGCUUGAUCCCGUCUGAUCUCAGAAGCUAAGCAGGGUCAGGCCUGGUUAGUAUUUGGAUGGGAGAACACCUAGGAAGACCAGGUGCUGUAGAUG
ensembl:rRNA 5S_rRNA 5S ribosomal RNA